rnacentral:misc_RNA from 1 species
GAUGAAGAACGUAGCGAAAUGCGAUAAGUAAUGUGAAUUGCAGAAUUCAGUGAAUCAUCGAAUCUUUGAACUCACCUUGCGCCCUUUGGCCAUUCCGAAGGGCAUGCCUGUUUGAGUAUCAUGAACACCUCAACUCUUCAUGGUUUUCCGUGAUGAGCUUGGACUUUGGGGGUCUUGCUGGCCUAUGGUCAGCUCCUCUAAAAUAAAUCAGCUUGCCAGUGUUUGGUGGGUAUCACAGGUGUGAUAACUAUCUACGCUUGUGGUUUUCCACCAGGUAACCUUCAGCAGUGGAGGUUCGCUGGAGCUCACAGAUGUGUCUCUCCUCAGUGAGGACAGCUCUUUGAAUGUUUGAUCUCAAAUCAGGUAGGACUACCCGCUGAACUUAAGCAUAUCAAUAAGCGGAGGA